rnacentral:lncRNA from 1 species
UUAUUUCAGCUUGGUGGCUUUUUUCAGUCUUAAAAAAAAAAAAGUUAAAUAAGGAAUUGCAAUAUAUUGAGAAAGCAAACAGAUGCAAUUUUUUUUUUUUUAAUUAGCAUCACUGGACAAGGAAAUAUGUGUAAGCCAACAGUUUGAACAUUUAACAAGUCCAUUGCCGGUUAGUCGCUCACUGUUGUAGUUGGGAAUCGACAUGUGGGUUAUUUUAUUAAUUGCCCAUCUAGUACCACAUAUUAUUUAGUUAUAUGUAAAAUGCUUUUUUUUUUCCUUUCCUAUUAUCAUAGCUUAGCCCGAAUUUAAGGCUAUUUCUAUAAUUCUUUCUAAAAAAUUUACAAAAUAAACUAUUCAUUAUUUGAAAAAAAAAUUUACAAAAUAAACAACCAACCCUCUCUUAUUCUAACUGAAAUAUCUCAUGUUCAUACUUUUUCUUUUUUCUCCAUUUUUUACCUUUCAACUAAUAUAUAUAAAGAGAAAAGGGUGCAAAUUUGGGCAUUUAGGUGGGUAUAUAUAAACAAAAAUAUUAUUUUGUAAAUUUUAAUCACAAGUUUAUUAAAUAAAUUGGUUGACAAAGUAACUUAGUGGGUUCAAAUAAGCUUAUCAAACUAGAAAAAGAUUAGACUUGAAUUACUCUAAUUUUUAGAAAGGAAAUUAUCAGUCAUAUACCCUUAAAUGACACCCAUAUCAAACGUGUGUGAACACUUUUCAAGUGUAUCACUCGUAUACCCUAAGUUGACAAAACAUUUCUGCCGUCCACCAAUCCGUUAACUUCCGUUUGCAAGCGCUGACAUCAUAAGGGUAAUUUAGUCUUUUAAGAUCGACGAAACUUUGAUUUAAAAAAUGACAUGUCAUCCCAUUUACCUAGUAACAAAUGACAUGUCAUAUGAUAUAUAAUAAUAAAAAUGACAUGUCAUCCCAUUUAUCGGAUAAUUGUUAAUAAUUGCUAAAACAAAUACUUUACAACCAAAUCUACUCCUCCAAAAUAAAAUAUAAAUUUUUGAAGAUCUACUCCUCCAAGCUCCAACUAAAAAUUUUUAUGGUAUAAUAUGUAUAAUUGUAAAUAAUAUGCUGUUAAUAAUUUUUUAUGGUAUAAUAUGGAUAUUUUUGUAUGGAUAAUUGUUAAUAAUAUGUACCAUUAAUAAUUUAUUUUUUUAAUCAAAAAAUGUAUUGUUAAUAACAAAAUAAAAUAAAAAAAUUGUGUAUUGAAAAUUUACGUUAAUUUUUGGGGUAAAUUUAUCUUUUUACCUCAUUUUGAGUUUCAAGGGCAAAAUAGUCAAUUUGCCACAAUUCUGUUAACUUUAUAACGGAAGUUAACGGAUUGGUGGACGGCAUAAGUGUUUUGUCAACUUAGGAUAUACGAGUGAUACACUUGAAAAGUGUUCACACACGUUUGAUACGGGUGUCAUUUAAGGGUAUAUAGCUGAUAAUUUCUCUUUCUAGAAAGAGAAAAAAGAGCAUCUUAAGGUCAUAUUUAAGCUAUCAUGUUGGAAGUCCGAAAGGUUUAAACUCGUACUAUAAAAGAUAAGGUGAUGAAAGCUCCUAUUUCAAUUUGCACUUUGAGGAGAAAUGCAUGUUCUUUUGUUUCUUGAUCAGGGAUUGUAUUGGCCUAGAGCUGUAUCAAGUCUAUAAUAUAGUCGUAUUUAUGUUAACUUAAUGGAAUUAUUCGAUUUAUGUUAACUUAAUGGAAUUAUUCGAUUUUUGGGUGCAUUGAAGUGGCUUUAUGACUACCUACUAAACCCAGAUACGAAAUGUUGCAAUUCUGAUGGUAUCAAAAGGCAGCAGCAUUAUUUAAAGAAUGCGAAGAUUCAGUGCUUCGAACACUUUUGGGUCGCAUGCUUAAUGCAGAUGAAUCGAAUCAAGGAUGAAUGGCGUAAGUUUUUCGAUGGAUUUUUGCGGUUACGUCUAGAUUGUGUGAUGGAUGCUUUCAAGAUUGUACAGGUUCACCAUGUCUUAUAACUUCUUCAACAUUAUACAAUUUCAGUUAAUUCUUCUUUACAUCAACUAUUUUGUUUUUAUUUGAUGAAAUCUUUUAUUACGAAAUAUAUAGAAGUGAAGUAAUUUUCUUUACUUCACUCCAGUUAUUACAAAUUCUUUUAUUAAACAGUUUUUCUUCAGCUUUUUAGUAUUUAAAUUCCAUGAAGAUAGUUUCACUCCUGUAAAGUUUAAAGACAAUAAAGUUUAAAGAAAAUAAAAAUCAAGGGAUUAGGCUAAGACUAAACAUUUUUGGGUUUGGCUUGGAUUUGUCUCUUAUCUCGGGUUAGUUUUUGGGGAUUUUAUAUGUAUUUUUCAAUUUUGAUUUAGUUUUCAAAAAAUAUAAAUAAAUUCUAACAGUACCAAGAACCUAUUAUUUCUUAAAAUACAGGAAAAUCUCUACAAAUUAAUAGGGUUGGGACCAUAUAAAAUCUAUUAAUUAAAAGAGAAAUUAAAUAAUUGAUAAAUUAAUUAAUUAAUAAUUAUUUGAUAAAUUAAUAAUUUAUUAAUUUAUAGAGUUAUUUACAAUUCAAUCAACAUACAUAAACACCACUCCAUAAUUUCUUAUUACAGUUUAAGAAGUCAACCCAGCGCUUCUAGAUGCAAUAAGAAAAAAAAAGAGAUUAAAUCCAACUAAAUUUCAAUUUUAAGAAAAAAAUAAAUAACAAUAGGUAGUAGUGGUAAUAAUAAUAAUAAUGACAUUUAAAAUAAUAAAAUUAAUUGUGAUUUGAAUGAGGGUAAUUCGAGAAAUAUAAAAAAAUUAUAGGGAUACAAAAAUAAACAUGGAUUUCAUUUUCAUUCCCUCAUUCUCAUUUCCAACCCCCCAAUAGGAAUGUGAUUCAUUUACUUAUUCCUAAAUUGUGUGGGACCCACAUAUUUUAUUCACAUUCCCAAAUUACAUUUUGCCAAGUAAAAUGAGUUUCAUUCCAAUUCUUUCAUUCUCAUUCUCAUUCCCUAAACAUUCAAGUAAACAAACUAUAAGUGAAAUUUCAAACAUAAAGUUCAAUAUCUUCCUUUCUUAAUUUAUUUUAUUCUUAAACUUCUUUCCAAAGCUAGAGUGAUUGCAAGAUUGCUUGGCCGGCCUAAGCCUCUUAAUUAAAAUUACUAAAAGGGAUAAAAAUUACAAUAUGAGGAUCCAAAUUACACAAGGUGCACAUGCUACUAGUGGUGCUGGACAUAGAUUCUCAUAUUUUAGUGGACCUGAUGAUAAAUAAGAAAACUAGCAAAUUGAAAGGUGGACAUGCAAUACAAAACAGAGCAGUACGAACACAUUACAACAUGGUAUGCCUCCUAGACAUAAUGCUUUCGUACAUUAACAGUUGAUUUAGUAGGCUUUUCGUUGGGACAAGAAGGGCGUGGUCAUGAAGCUAUGAAUGGUCCCAAAAGAGCAGUUCCAUGCUCUCGGCUAAAUCAUGACUCUUAUCCACAUUACCCAACAUUCCAGUCGAAAGUUACAACUCACAAGUAACAGCUUCUUGAAAAACGGCUAAUAAAGCAGUUCAUUGGAAAUUUGUCAUAGAUGUCCAUAAAUAUACAUAAGUGGCAUCUACAUAUGCAUAAACCACAUUUUACAAAUUCAAAAGUUAAAUAUUCAACAAUAUAACUUGACUCCUAUAUGAUCAUUAAUUUUCCAAUCAUAAAACAAUUUCAAGAUGAAAAAAAAAAUUGAACUAAAAGAGCUAAACAUAUACUUGAAUAUCUACCAAUUAAAAAAUUAAUUCCAAAAGACAGUGAGAAACUUACUUGCUCAAGUCUCAGACUAUUUUCAAAAACAAUUUGAUUGAGGCCUGAAGUAGGUUCCAAGUUCUCUGAAACCUCAAUCCUACCAAUCUUUGUCCACAAUCUUGUAUAGAUUUUUAUAGUUAUGAAGCACUAUCUCUUCACUUUGAUUGUACUGUUUGAAAACUGUUAUAAAAUCAAAUAAAGAAACCAAGAAACUCUAAGGCAAUUGUUUUGCCUCUCAAGUAUAAACACAAUACCUAACAGAACCUAACCAAACCAAAAGCCCACAUUUAGCACCGAAACUUAGCAGCCUAAGACCAUUGAGUUAUGUGGUUAAAGCAUGAAAGCAUUAAAUAUACAGAAAUAGGAAAUUUGGAAUAAGAGUUUAAAUAGUUCAACCAUUAUACUUGAUGGCAUCACAUUGUUAUCAAAUCAAACAAAAGAAACAAGAAUCUCUAAUGUGAAACCCUUGCGUAAAAUUCAAACUCAAAAAACACAGUGAUAAACAGCAACAUACGAUAGUAGAAAUGUGGAAAGAUUUGACAUUGACUUCGUGCUCAUUGGCCAUACAGAUUCUCUGGAAACCUAUGUAGCGACAUCCCUCAUUUCUAGUAUUAUAGAAAUCACUGUGAUAAAUGGCAACAUACGGUAGUCGCAAUGUGGAAAGAUUCGCCAUUCACUUCAUGCUCAUAGUCAUUGACCAUACAAAUCCUCUGGAAACCUAUGUAGUGACAUCCCUCAUUUCUGGUAUUGCGAAAGAGCUGAAAAAAAAAAGGAAACAAUAGGAUAGUAAUACGUAAACAAAAAACAUUAAUUUAUUUAUUUUGACAAAAUUACUAAGACACUAACAACUUGAAUUUCUCAUCGAUUUCAUCUCAUUUUAAAAGUAGAAAGAAGUAACCAAUCAAUAACAUCCACAUCUAUUAGAAAGACAAAACAAACUGAAAGACCCAAAUCAACUUCAUAACGCAAGAUUCAAAUGUCAGCAUUUUUAAAUGAAAACUACGUACUUUAUAGUACCUAAAUUAUCAUCAAUCCGAAUGCAGAUCAACAUAUUCAAUUCUCAAGAAUAUUAACCAUAGAGUGAUUCCAUUUAGCUGAUAAAAGUUUCUAGUGUAAAAUGAUUUUUUAAAACAAUUACCUGCAACUAAAUUGCCAUAAUGCUUGCAUUUCCAUUUCCUAGGGUGAAAUUUUAUGUUAAUUUUCUCCAAUAUUUUAAAAUAUUUUUUAAAUUUGAAGAGUAAAAUCAUUUCAUUUAUGCAUUUUUUAUGCUUGAGUGAGUGGUUACUGAGAAAGUAUCAGAGUAAAGAUGCUAAUGUCAAAAACCAAAAUUGCACUGAUCGUGAGUUCUGGAGCACAAUUAGAAUGCCACUUGGUCACAAUUUCCACCAUCUCUUUCACAUUAUUUUUGUGUGAGUUCUUUUCAUAUCAUUUUUUGUGAGUUUUUCAAAUUAAAUACACAUAUGAAUAAAUGUGAUUAAUUAGCUUGUUAUUUAUUAUCUUAUGAAAAUUCUCGUGCAUGUGAGGGUGGGCUAGCUGGAUGUCCCAAAAUGCUUCACUUGCUUAUAACAUCAUUUGAGCUGGCUUGUACACCUACUGAAAAUAGGAGAUAUGGCCUUGCACAGUAAUAAGACAAAGGCCUCGUUUGGGAUUGCUUUUGGAAGGCUUAAAAGUGAUUUUGAAAAUCUAAAAGUUAAUUUUAGUGUUUGGUAAAAAAAAAAUCAAAAUAACUUUUAUCAAAAUCAGUCCCUCUACAUCUGAUUUUGAAAAGUAAAAAAUGAGUAGCUUUUAAAUUUUAAUCACCCUUUAAUAUAAUUUCAUAAAUAUCCUCAAAAUUAUUACCUAAACCCAAAAUUAUCCUUAUUCAAAUUGGAAACAAAAUUAAUAUUUUCACAAAAUUUUAUUAUAAUUCAUCGAUAUAAAUUUAUUAAUAUCAAUUUGUUGGUCAAAUUAUUAUUAAAUUUGUUUCACUAAAUUGUAAAUUUAAUUAUCUAUUGUUUUACGAUAAAAAUAAAAAAUAAAAUCAAUAUAUUAUUAAAUUUAAUUUUUAGUAAAAAUUAUUAUAAUACACAAUCAAAAAUAUUAUAUGUACAUGUUUUUAUAUGUAUAAGGAAAUUUUAUCCUACAUUAUGUACAUUUUAUCUAUAAAUAGCCAACAAUAUUCUAUCUAUAAUUAGCCAACAUACACAGAUGAUCAUGGCAUAGGAACAAACCAUAUGAUUUGUAAAUCAACUCAUCACACAACAUGUUGAGCAUCUACUCUGUGCAUAAAAUUUAUAUUAAUUUUCUCCAAUAAUUCAACUUUUUUUUUUUUAAUUGUAAAUUUAAUUAUCUAUUGUUUUACGAUAAAAAUAAAAAAUAAAAUCAAUAUAUUAUUAAAUUUAAUUUUUAGUAAAAAUUAUUAUAAUACACAAUCAAAAAUAUUAUAUGUACAUGUUUUUAUAUGUAUAAGGAAAUUUUAUCCUACAUUAUGUACAUUUUAUCUAUAAAUAGCCAACAAUAUUCUAUCUAUAAUUAGCCAACAUACACAGAUGAUCAUGGCAUAGGAACAAACCAUAUGAUUUGUAAAUCAACUCAUCACACAACAUGUUGAGCAUCUACUCUGUGCAUAAAAUUUAUAUUAAUUUUCUCCAAUAAUUCAACUUUUUUUUUUUUCAUUUUGCUCCUUCUUUGUGUGUAAAAUCAGUUACGAGCAAUAGCUAAUGUCUGAAAAUCAAAAUUAUAUUGAUCUUGAAAAUGUUUUGAGCUGCAAAUUAGGCUUGUAGUUGAUAUAUGAAUAGUUAGCAGGCUUGUGGCACAAUUAAAAUGAUAUAAUUGGUCACAUUCUCUUUCAUGCCAUUUGCGUGUGUGUGAGGGUGGGUUACUUAACUUCUCUUUCAUGCCAUUUGCGUGUGUGAGGCUGGGAUCUUGGUUCUCUUAAGCUAGCAUGUUAACACACUCAUAUAAAAUGGAAAAAUGAACUUACGUUAUUAAGCUGAAAAGAAAUGUACUACAAUAUACGUAAAUUGAAAGGUUAACCUAUAAAUUCUAUGUGACAUUUCCUUUCUGUAAAAUAUAAUCAAUCUCUAAAUGAAACAUUUAUACAGUUAUACUCACCAUGUAUAUUCAAAAUUAUUGUAACAACGGAAAGUUUCUACGCAUCAUAACUAGACAAAGCACAUGAGUAACUCUGAACUCGAAUCUUGAGGGAAGUAGGAGGUUAAAAAAAUUGGUUAAGGCUUCGCCCACCUCUCUAUUUCUUAAACUUGAACGGGUUGCAAACUGAACCGAAAACUAGAAAAACCAAACUAAAAAAUCAAAAUGUCCACUCUAGAUAUUACCAUAUAACAUAGUAUUUUUUUUAGAAUGACUUAUAACAUAACAUUUGCAUGAAAUUAUUCUUUAUUUUGACAAAUGGGUAAUUUUGUUUCGAUUGUCUUAAGUUUUAAAUAUGUUUAUACCCUUUUCUACUAGUAGUUGAAUAUGAGAAACCGGCAAAACCUUAGAAAAAAAAAAAAAGAAAAAAAAAAAAGAGAAUUACAGUGGCAAGCAUUCACAAAGGCAUGAAAUGGAGUAUUGUUAAUUUUAUCCAAUAUUUCAAGAUCAUUUUCUAAGUUGGAACUUAGUUGUCAUUUGAUAUGUGCUGAACGUAGCAGACCAAGUCAAGAGUAUCUGUUAGUGGAUAAACUUUGAAUAAGUUGGUAGCUGAUAUUUAGUUGCUAUGUUUCCUUAUUUUCUGCUUGUUAGUUCCCAUUUCUUAGCCAUAAAUUGUGUAACUCAGUUGUACUGCAAGGUCUAUAAAUGGCCAAGGUUUUCAUUAAUAAAGGCAGCAAGUUAUACAAGCAAAUACUUUCUCCUCUAAACUACUUCUAUCUGUUCCUGGUUGUAUUAACUGGUAUCAGAGACGGUUCCGAUUAUGGACACCCGUGGCAAAACCAAUGCUGAAUUUCGCAGUGAAGUUAACGAGAUUCUAGCCCGUCACGAGUCUAGCUUCGAUCAAGUUAAUGCCGCUUUACAAACCUUAUUGACAGAGCUUCAAUCUCUGCGAGUUUCUCGUAAUUCAAACCAUCCCAACACUGAAAUCAAUCCAUUUGCUUCUGGAGAAUCAUCACACCAGCCAGCUCGUCCAGAUACCCAACGUCCCAGCUCUUCCCUUGACCACAACCACCAUAAUCUCAAGCUCUCCUUCCCCAAGUUUGGCAGAGACGACCCCACAGGCUGGAUUUACAAAGCGGAACAAUAUUUUGAGUUUAAGAACAUUGCUUCAGAUCAACAAGUGCAGCUUGCCUCUUUCCAUCUUGAAGGCAUUGCUUUACAAUGGCACCGAUGGCUAUCCAAAUUAAAAGGACCAUUAGAUUGGGAAGAAUUCACACGAGCCUUGCUUCAACGAUUUGGCCCAACAGAUUAUGAAGACCCUUCUGAAGCUCUAACUCGUUUAAAACAAACCUCAAUUGUAGAGGCUUAUCAGGAAGCUUUUGAACAAUUGUCUCACAGUGUCGACGGGAUACCUGACAAAUUUUUAAUGGGUUGUUUCAUUGCAGGCCUAAAAGAUGAAAUUUGUCAUUUUAUGUGUUCAUUUUUAAAUGUGCAAUAGUGAGUAUGAGAAAGUAACAAAGAGUAAAGAACCUAAUGUCUAAAAUCCAAAAUUACAUUUGAAACUGAAAGCGGCAGAUUUUUCUUGGUCAUUAGCAUAAUCCUAUGCAUCAAUGGUAUCCAUCUAUGUCAUGAAAAGGCACUCAUCCUUACCUUGUCAAACCAAUAUCUACAAUAGUUCAUGCUAUGUGAAUUUUCGUUGUUUGUGAACACAUCACUUUACUUUCACCAUGCACAUUUGAUUGCGUACUAAACACCGUAAUAAAAAUCAAAUAAAAAACAAGAAACCCAAUGUCAAAACUAAAGGUGGUUUUUGGUUUUAAGAAAGGGGAGCAGAGGAGAGGAAAUAAGGAGAGGAGUGGAGAGGUGAUGAGAGGAGAGGAGUAUGAAAAUUAAUUAAUAUUGUAACACCACAAAUUUCCAUAAUAUUAAAUUAUGGAAAUUGGGCUUUCAUUGAGAAUUAUGGGUGGCCUAUAACCCUUAUUAAGAAAGGGAUACUAAUUAUAAAUAGAGGUUAUUUAUGAGAUAAUUUUGGAAAAGGGUUAUUUUU